rnacentral:rRNA from 1 species
GUGCUCAGCCGCCGCGGUAAUACGGAGGGUGCAAGCGUUAAUCGGAAUUACUGGGCGUAAAGCGCACGCAGGCGGCUUUUUAAGUCGGAUGUGAAAGCCCCGGGCUCAACCUGGGAAUUGCAUCUGAUACUGGGAAGCUAGAGUAUGUGAGAGGGGGGUAGAAUUCCAAGUGUAGCGGUGAAAUGCGUAGAGAUUUGGAGGAAUACCAGUGGCGAAGGCGGCCCCCUGGCACAAUACUGACGCUCAGGUGCGAAAGCGUGGGGAGCAAACAGGAUUAGAUACCCUGGUAGUCCACGCCGUAAACGAUGUCUACUAGAUGUUCGUGGUCUUGUACCGUGAGUAUCGCAGCUAACGCAUUAAGUAGACCGCCUGGGGAGUACGGUCGCAAGAUUAAAACUCAAAUGAAUUGACGGGA